UUGAACGCUGGCGGUAUGCUUUACACAUGCAAGUCGAACGGCAGCACGGGGCAACCUGGUGGCGAGUGGCGAACGGGUGAGUAACAUAUCGGAACAUAUCCGGAAGUGGGGGAUAACGUAGCGAAAGUUACGCUAAUACCGCAUAUGCCCUGAGGGGGAAAGGGGGGGAUCGCAAGACCUCUCGCUUUCGGAGUGGCCGAUAUCGGAUUAGCUAGAUGGUGAGGUAAAGGCUCACCUAGGCGACGAUCCGUAGCGGGUCUGAGAGGACGACCCGCCACACUGGAACUGAGACACGGUCCAGACUCCUACGGGAGGCAGCAGUGGGGAAUUUUGGACAAUGGGCGAAAGCCUGAUCCAGCCAUGCCGCGUGAGUGAAGAAGGCCUUCGGGUUGUAAAGCUCUUUCAGAUGGGAAGAAACGGACAUGGUUAAUAACUGUGUCUAAUGACGGUACUAUCAGAAGAAGCACCGGCUAACUACGUGCCAGCAGCCGCGGUAAUACGUAGGGUGCGAGCGUUAAUCGGAAUUACUGGGCGUAAAGCGUGCGCAGGCGGUUCUGUAAGACAGAUGUGAAAUCCCCGGGCUUAACCUGGGAACUGCAUUUGUGACUGCAAGACUAGAGUGUAGCAGAGGGGGGUAGAAUUCCACGUGUAGCAGUGAAAUGCGUAGAGAUGUGGAGGAAUACCAAUGGCGAAGGCAGCCCCCUGGGUUAACACUGACGCUCAUGCACGAAAGCGUGGGGAGCAAACAGGAUUAGAUACCCUGGUAGUCCACGCCCUAAACGAUGUCAACUAGGUGUUGGGGAAGGAGACUUCCUUAGUACCGCAGCUAACGCGUGAAGUGACCGC
rnacentral:rRNA from 1 species